rnacentral:rRNA from 1 species
UACGGAGGAUCCGAGCGUUAUCCGGAUUUAUUGGGUUUAAAGGGUGCGCAGGCGGGAGAUUAAGUCGGCGGUGAAAUUUUGCAGCUCAACUGUAAAAGUGCCGUUGAUACUGCCAGGCUAGGAUUUGGUUGCUGUGGGUGGAAUGUGUGGUGUAGCGGUGAAAUGCUUAGAUAUCACACAGAAUAUCGAUUGCGAAGGCAGCUCACAAAGCCAAGAUUGACGCUGAGGCACGAAAGUGUGGGGAUCAAACAGGA